CUAUAUAUUUGUUUGACUUACUCAGUUCUUCAUUUCCACGGCUUCUCUUUGCAGAAUUUUGCGUUCAUAUCAUCCAUUAUUUCUUCAUUAAACCGUCUGUGUUCUCGUGUGUUUUUGAGUCUCCUUAGAAUCUUCCCUUUGAACUCUUUGUUUAAAAGAUUCAUAUUUGAAAAGCACAGUAACAUACAGAGGGGAGGGGAGAGAGAGAGAGAGAGAGAAUCUCCCAUCUGCGGGUUCACUCCCUAAAUACCAAGGCUGGGCCAGGCUAAGCCAGGAGCCAAGACCUCCAUCUGAGUCUCCUACAUGGGCGGCAGGGACUUAAGUUCUUGAGCAUCAUCUGUUGCCUCCCAGGCACAUUAUCAGGAAGCUGGAUCAGAAGAGUAAGGAGGACUCGAACCAGGCACUUGGACUUGGGAUGUAGGCAUCCCAGGCAGUGACUUAACCCAUUGGUCUACAGUGCCGGCCCCCCUUUUUAAGUUCUCAGGUAUUUCACCCAUCUCCUUUUCUUUGGAGUCUGUCACUAAAGCAUUAUUGUAUUCCUUUGGCGGCAUCAUCUUGCUGCUUUUUCAUACUUUCUGUGUCUUUCCACUGAUACCUGGGCACCCGCUGGAUCGGUUAUCUCUACCACCUGCAAAGGGUGGCUUCUGUGGUGAAAGACUUUUCCCUGAACAUGUGUCUUCAGGUGUCAGUUUGCAGGCUUCUUUGGCUUCCGUUCUAGGGGGAUGCUGUAGUGCAGACUCCCUAUACCUCUUCCUCUGCAGCUGAUGGUGGCGGCGGCAGGGGUGUGGGGUGCUCCUCUCACCAUGGCAGGGCACUGUGGGCCCUGGUAGCAGCCUGUGGGAUGGGGCUGGGGUUGCAAGAGUGCCAGGCCUCAGUCCUGGUGGCUGUGGUUGUGGGAGUCCUGGAGGGCUGCAUCGCAGGGGCAUGGCCAAGGGCAUGGUAGCAUGGCCUGCUGUGGGGGCACAUGGGCCCCUGCGGGGAUCGGAGUUACUGUCUCCCAGCCGACAUCUUUGAAUUCUACAUCUACUGGGCCCAUUUCCCACGCAAGGGAGAGAAGGGCCCUGUAUGGACUAGAAGUUCUGUUCCAAGAAGGGUUGAGACCAGCAGUGACAAGAGGGCCGGGCGCAGGGGCAGCACCCGGCUGGCGGCGCCCGUGGCGGUGCCCGCGCUUGGC
rnacentral:lncRNA from 1 species